GGUAUUUCAGAACCUAAAACUGGCUAAAAACCCCGACUCCGGGAGGGGGGUUUUAAUAAAACAAAAAACCAAGGCCCUUCGGGCCUCCUGGGGGAUCCAUGAUACCUUAACAAACCGCAGGGCCUUGCCCCGGCAAGGGUUCUUUCAAUUUUCGGCCCAAUCACUUUUCGAUGGUAGGAUAGUGGCCUACCAUGGUAUCAACGGGUAACGGGGAAUUAGGGUUCUAUUCCGGAGAGGGAGCCUGAGAAACGGCUACCACAUCCAAGGAAGGCAGCAGGCGCGCAAAUUACCCAAUCCCGACACGGGGAGGUAGUGACAAUAAAUACUGAUACAGGGCUCUUUUGGGUCUUGUAAUUGGAAUGAGUACAAUUUAAAUACCUUAACGAGGAACAAUUGGAGGGCAAGUCUGGUGCCAGCAGCCGCGGUAAUUCCAGCUCCAAUAGCGUAUAUUAAAGUUGUUGCAGUUAAAAAGCUCGUAGUUGAACCUUGGGCCUGGCUGGCCGGUCUGCCUCACCGCAUGUACUGGUUCGGCCGGGCCUUUCCUCCUGGGGAUCCGCAUGCCCUUCACUGGGUGUGUUGGGGAACCAGGACUUUUACUUUGAAAAAAUUAGAGUGUUCAAAGCAGGCCUUUGCUCGAAUACAUUAGCAUGGAAUAAUAGAAUAGGACGUGCGGUUCUAUUUUGUUGGUUUCUAGGACCGCCGUAAUGAUUAAUAGGGAUAGUCGGGGGCAUCAGUAUUCAGUUGUCAGAGGUGAAAUUCUUGGAUUUAUUGAAGACUAACUACUGCGAAAGCAUUUGCCAAGGAUGUUUUCAUUAAUCAGUGAACGAAAGUUAGGGGAUCGAAGACGAUCAGAUACCGUCGUAGUUUUAACCGUAAACUAUGCCGACUAGGGAUCGGGCGAUGUUAUUCUUUUGACUCGCUCGGCACCUUACGAGAAAUCAAAGUCUUUGGCUCU
rnacentral:rRNA from 1 species